UCAGAAAAGCAACGAAUGUUUCUAAGGAGGUGGGGAGACCUAUUUCUUCUUAUCUCUAUCCUCCAUUUCUUCUCCUCGCUGCUCUUUGCUCUGUGUGACCUGAUAAAGGGCUGUCUAAGAGUCACAAGACGCUGUUCUCAUGUGGGCUGGGACGUGGGAAGAAUUCAGGGUUUACAGUCACAAGCCGGGGAGUAUCAGCGUUGAAUUUACAGCUAUGCUACAGAAAGACGGCGCAGAGCCUUUUCUCAUUUUGCUAUUGCCCCUUUGGGAAAUGAAGGACUUUGGCCAAACGGACAAGUUGAGCACCGUGAUCCCAGGAUCAACACUCAAUGUGCUUGUGCUGGUGUAAACAAAGAUUUGGGUCAAGAAAAAUGUGGUUGGAACUGGUGAAACUUGCACUUGCACUGAGAAUUAAUGGUCGAGUGCCUUAAUGAAUCUGAAUCUUCUAGUAUCUCCUGAAAUUCAUCGAUGUGAUAUACGUCUUUGGGAAAACUUGCUCCUGAGGUGGAAAAAACCUCACUAUUUUUCUAUUUUUUGCCUACAUUCUCUGCAGAAUGUUUAAAAUUGUAAAAUAAAAAAGAAGUUUGAUCAGUGA